GCUGAUGUCAUAGAGGGGUGGGUUCCAUGUUCUAGGCACUGUGGGGAUCUGUGGCACAGGGUCCACUGGGGGAGGGGCAACAUGGAAUUGAGGAGCCAUAGAAUGGUUUGGGUUGGAAAGGAUCUUGGUGAUCUUCUCACUCUGAGCCCUUGCCUUGGGCAUGGAGGGAUAGCUUGCACUGAACCUGUUUUUCAGAGCUCAGCUCAGAAGCUGGUCUCAUACACAGUGGCAAUGGCUCCCCCAGUUGAUGGGCUGACCUGGAUGAUGGUCAAAGUUGGUGUCUGUGUCUUCUGUGCUGACCCUGCCUACAUGAAAAACAGGCAUCCACAGCUGCUCUGGAAUGCCUGUAUCUCAGCAGCCUCACAGUCAAGAAUUCCUUCAUAUGAUCUCAGCUGAAGCUAUUCUCUGUCACUGUAAAGCCAUUGGCCCUUGUCCUGUGAGAACCUGCCCUUGUAAGAAGGUUCUCUGCUGCUUUCUUUAGGGCCCUCUUCUUGCAGGAUGAGGCUCUGCAGUCCCUAGGGCAGGCAGCAGCUGAGGAAUCCCUUUGGGGCAGGGAGCUGGGUGUGCAGCUGCAGCGCCAGCUGCAGAUUGAGCUCUGGCUGGCAGGAGCCUGGGACCAGAGGCUGUGAACUGCCCACACUUUGCAUAACAGAGAGCACAGGGAGCUGUGGCACUGGCCAGGGAUUUGAAAGAACACAGCGUUGCAGCAGGAGCCAGGGGCUGUUUAUGGAAUGUGACUUCUGUGAGUCUGCUGGGGGAAUCCUGAGGCUGGAUGGGUAUGGAAACCUGCUCUGACUGGGUGAGAGUGGCGUGGGUAGGGAAUCAAACAGGACAACCAUUGGCUCAUUGGAGCCACCUGCAUUUCCAAAAUGGUCACACAGGGGAGUUUCCUCAGUACUUUGGCAGCCCAAGGGCAGUACUGCUGGAGCCUCUGUCUUUCAGAGCAGGUACUGCUGAGUUCACCUGGGAUCUUUAGAGCAGGAAGGAGCCGAAUGGGGAGUGUUACAAUUCCGUGUGCAGAUUCUGUGUAAAUUAUAAGGGUGAAUUUGAGCCUUUCUAUUAUUGUGGCAUUUGGUGCAGAUUUGGUGAAAUCACUGGUAGAGGGUGGAGAAGGCAUGCACAACACGAUCAGCAUAAGAUGGCCACAGAGGAGUUGUGGAGGCCCCUGUAAGGUGCGAGGUGGGGGGGCCCUCAGUCUCUGCUAGGACACUCAAGUCUCUGUUCAAAGGCUUUUGGAGACAGGCACAGGGAGAGCCUUGUGUCCCUCAUGCCACACAAUGGGUGCUAGGGUCCCUGGGCACACACAGAAGGGGGUGGAAGUCCCUUCAUGAGGGACUCCUUCAGAAAGGGGUUUCACGUGCCUCGAGGUGUUUGAUGUGAUGGAAAAUAUCCCUGGUCUAGGUGAGGAAAUGUCUGUGGCUGAGGUUGUGCAGAACUGGGAGAAAUUGUUUGGGCAGCAGAGUUUUGCCAAGAGAGUGCAAUAAGGUUCUUCCAGGAUGAUUGGGCGACACCAAGCUGGUCUGCUCACUGGACAGGGUAACGGCCAUCCCCAGCCCUGAGUGACACUCUUUCACUCAGUGUCUUUAGUGACCAGGCAGCCCCUGAAAUGUACCUCCAGAAAUAUUUGAAGAAGCUUAUGCCAGGGUGGCAAGGAUCAGUACAGAUGUGGGGUGGUUGUUCUCAGCACAGCCCAUCUUGAUUAACACAAAGGGAGGAGUGCCACCUGCUGUGAGACAGGACACCAUUGCCCUGGAGAUGCCAGAUUGAUUUUUGCCUUUUUUCUUUCAUAUAUUCUCUGUGUUCUUUACACAUAUAUUUGUAACUCUGCAGCCUGUUGUUAUAUCUGUGGCUAGUUUUUCCAGUACUUUUCCCUACCUUUUCUCUAAGCAGAAAGAGAAAACAUAUGUCAGAGCUCCAAGCCCUGGAGAGUAUAAGGCCCCUUAACCUAUAUUGGUUCUUCAUGGGAACCAAGGCUAGAAACAGCUCUUUGAGAUACAUUUUCAUAAACAAAAUUUAGUUUCCAUCUGUUUGGGGGAGGAAUUAGAGACUGUUGAAUCGAGGGAGGAAUUACUUCACCAUGUGGUCCUAAUUGGUGAUUUUUGUCAAGUAUGCUAAUUUAUUAAGCUUAUAAAACUGUAUUCACCCCACGAAGGGGAGGAAUUCCAUGGUGAUCUGCCAUAUCUGCCACUGGAGGCCUCCAAUAAAGGAAAGAACCCCUAAAAACAAUGAGCCAACAUGGAAUUAAGAGACCUAAGUGAUGUCUAAAGAAGCCCCAACUCUGCCUGCAGACCAGCGGACACAGCUGCAUCAUCCUCCUCCUCCUCCAUGCCAUAGUUAGGAGCAGUGGCGGUGUGGGCGCGACCUAUCGGUUUCUCCCCAGCUGAGAUGAUUCUUUUUAAUAAAAGCAUUAAAAAG